UUAAUUGAAACCAAAAAAGAGGUAAAUUAAUGUUAAUAAUUUAAAUGAAUUAAAAAUUCCAAUUAAU
rnacentral:tRNA from 3 species